CCCUUAGAUGUCCUGGGCCGCACGCGCGCUACACUGAGUGUCUGAGAUACGAGUCUGCCUGGUCCGGCAAGGUCUAGGUAAUCGCUAAAAGACACAUCAUGCUUGGGAUAGAUUAUUGCAAUUAUUAAUCUUGAACGAGGAAUUCCCAGUAAGCGCAAGUCAACAGCUUGCGUUGAUUACGUCCCUGCCCUUUGUACACACCGCCCGUCGCUACUACUGAUUGGAUGUUUAAGCGAGGUUCUCGAACUGCUAGCGACUUAGCUUCGGUGAGGUCGCAGUGUGGGAAGUGAACCUAGCUUUGGUGUCUAGAGGAAGUAAAAGUCGUAACA
rnacentral:rRNA from 1 species